rnacentral:lncRNA from 1 species
AAAAAUUGAGUUGUGAUGAGUGCUAUAAUAGCCAUACCUUUCAGAAUCCAGAAUCUCCCUGACAAGCAGAAAGAGACUUAUUUCACUGAAUGAUCUAACACGUCAAGAUAUGAGACUCUAAAUCUCCACAUAGGAAGUAAACAGAUGUUUGUUUUUACCUUCUUACCAAAUGAAGCAGAGAGCACAUUACUAGCUAAAGACAGAAUAGCUAGCAGCAACUAUUCUAAAAAAUACCUUUGGCUUUGGUUUACAAAUAUGAGCAGAAAACAUACUUUUCAAAAGUUCAGAAACAAAAUACUAUGCUCUUAAAAGAGAAAAUUCUUACUUGAUGCUUCUAUAUGCAUAACAGGCAUAGCA